rnacentral:rRNA from 1 species
CCAAUAGCGUAUAUUAAAGUUUUUGCAGUUAAAAAGCUCGUAGUUGAAUUUUAGGCCUGACCGGACGGUCCGUCUCUGGCGAGUACUGUUCUGCUGUCGGGUCUAUCCUUCUGGUGAGCCGGUAUGCCCUUUAUUGGGUGUGUCGGGGAACCAGGACCAUUACCUUGAAAAAAUUAGAGUGUUUAAAGCGGGCUUUUGCUUGAAUAGAUUAGCAUGGAAUAAUAGAAUAGGACGUUGGUUCUAUUUUGUUGGUCUAGGACCACCGUAAUGAUUAAUAGGGAUAGUUGGGGGCAUUAGUAUUCAAUUGUCAGAGGUGAAAUUCUUGGAUUUAUUGAAGACUAACUACUGCGAAAGCAUUUGCCAAGGAUGUUUUCAUUAAUCAAGAACGAAAGUUAGGGGAUCGAAGACGAUCAGAUACCGUCGUAGUCUUAACCAUAAACUAUGCCGACUAGGAAUCGGGCGACGUUAUUUUCAUGACUCGCUCGGCGCCUUAUG